AGGUACUGGCUGGCACAGCAAUGUUCUCCUUCCCAUUCUAAUGCUGUUCGUAUUAGUACCAGCUGCCACUGGGCUUCCCCUGACAGCUCACUCCAAUACUUUCCAUGCAGGCUGUCAUUAUCCAUCUUGUUUCUUACGCCUUAGUAUUUUUGCCAAAAGGCCCAGAUUUGAGUAAAGGGGAGCAUCGUGAGCACAGUAUCGGGGCAUAAGGGCUGCAGUCUGUGGAGCUUUGGCAGGUGGGUGUUCUGGGAAGUAAAUUUCGAAGAAAUAGUUGGUUGGUUGCUAGUUUUCCUGGGGGCUGUUGGUUUGGUUGCUGGUUUUCCUGGUUGGUGCCAAGGUGCUUUUUGGUAGACGCCUAGCUUUGAAGUUUUAGUAGAGUAUGAUACUAUUCUGUGAUGCCUGCUGCCUUCUUCCCAAGGUCCCGUUUUAUUAGCAUCAUGUUAUUCUGUAGCUCUGAUCCUGUUUGAUUUGACAACAGCUACCAUCUGGGCUUUAAAAAAAAUUUUUUUUCUUUAAUUCAUUAGACUCCCUUUCUGAAAGAUGGACUGAUGGACUGUUAUCUUCUGGGGAUGUGAUCAAUCCAGAUCUGCACUGUUCUUUGAGAUGUCACUAUUGUGCAUUGAAUUUCGAAUGGUAGUUGUUUUCAUUUCUUUAAUUGUCCGGACUUCUUGCUUUCUUUGUC
rnacentral:lncRNA from 12 species